UACGUAGGGUGCAAGCGUUGUCCGGAUUUAUUGGGCGUAAAGAGCUCGUAGGCGGUCUGUCGCGUCGGAUGUGAAAACCCAGGGCUCAACCCUGGGCCUGCAUUCGAUACGGGCAGACUAGAGUGUGGCAGGGGAGACUGGAAUUCCUGGUGUAGCGGUGAAAUGCGCAGAUAUCUGGAGGAACACCGGUGGCGAAGGCGGCAUCCUGGACCAACACUGACGCUGAGGAGCGAAAGCCAGGGGAGCAAACGGG
rnacentral:rRNA from 1 species